AGAGUUUGAUCCUGGCUCAGGAUGAACGCUAGCUACAGGCUUAACACAUGCAAGUCGAGGGGCAGCAUGUUGGUUGCUUGCAACCAAUGAUGGCGACCGGCGCACGGGUGAGUAACGCGUAUCCAACCUACCCUUGUCCAUCGGAUAACCCGUCGAAAGGCGGCCUAACACGAUAUGCGGUUCUCAGCAGGCAUCUAACGAGAACGAAAUGUGAAGGAGAAGGAUGGGGAUGCGUCUGAUUAGCUUGUUGGCGGGGUAACGCCACAAGGCGACGAUCAGUAGGGUUCUGAGAGGAGGUCCCCCANAUUGGAACUGAGACACGGUCCAAACUCCGUACGGGAGCA
rnacentral:rRNA from 1 species